UUCUUCCUCUUCUUCCCUUCUCUCGCGCCAUCUUCUUCUCUUCAUCUUCCCCAAACCGUCGUCGCCAACGCCUCCUCUUCUCCCCUCCCCGCGUUCAUAACCCCCGGCCAAAGGAAAGCCUGAAGCCCUAACAUCACUUUCCCCUUCUCUACCCCCAUCGCUGCCUCGUCGUAGAGAUUCCGAUCGUGCCAUCUCCUACUUGCGCCGAUCAACAUCCGCGCUGCGCUACCCUUCACCGGAGCAGUGACAUUGCCGUUCUUGCUGUGCCCUAGCCGCAGUAACCGGUGCCCUAGUUUUCUUUCUCGCCGCGAGCCAUAGUGUCGAGUGCCACGCGAUCUUUCCUCUUCAGGUCAUGGAUAGAAGCCGAGCAUCCGAGUUGAUCUCUCGCCGGUGCCCUAGCCACUGCCACUGUGAGGACUGAGCCGGUCAUCGCCGACGCGGCUAGCCUCGACCCAUCCCUCUUCUCUUGAUUUUCUCCGAGUCAUGCCCUAAUCACUGGUUGCUACCGCCACUUAUCAUCGCCGCCCAACGCCUGAGUGGGUUGAUACAACAGAUUUGGUUUUGACCAGCCACUGUUGCUUGCUAUCAUCACCGGCGAUUGAGGAGGAAGAGCUAAUGGAAGCUAUUUUGUUGUUGGUUUGUGAUAGUGAAUAGAUUUCUUGAUUGCUUUCUUGAUCUCCUUUUGAUCUGGGCAUUGAGGAGGUUUCCAGCAGAGUAGUGGUGUUUCUAGGUAUUCCCAGCAGCUGCGAUCUCCGGCCGCGAGUCAACAGUGGUGGCUUGAGUUGAGGUAAGAGGUGGAGGAAUUUACCCUUGCUGUAGCUUACACCUAAAAUUGAAAUUAGGAAGAUUAGAAAUGAUAGACCCAAGUGGUUGUCUUGAUAGUUAAGGUUAAUGGAGCUGACCCUAAUUAACUUGUGAGUUAUACUUAACUAGGGAUUAAAUAAUGGAUUUCAUCUAAGCUUCGGGUUAGACUCGAUUAUGUAGCUAAUCGAGAUAUAAUGGAAGGAUUAGGGAUCUUGAUAAAUAAGAAUUUGAUUUAA